GGAUGGUCUGGAAUGGAUGGGCAGAUCCCUAUCAGUAGAAGUCUGUUGUGUAACCCUGCUAAGGCCAUGGUGAGAUGCGUGAAGCUAUUUUCAGGGUACUACGGUUGCAACAAAUGUAACCAGAAGGGGGCCUGGGAUGGAAGAAUGCUCUACCCAGAGAUGAACAGUCUCACCUUGAGGACCAACCAGUCCUUCAGGGAGUGUUGGCAGCCCGAACACCACCAUGAGAGCAUAUCUCCCCUUUUGCAGCCUGCCAAUUGAUAUGGUCCAUUCUUUCCCAGCUGACUAUAUGCACCAAUGCUGCCUAGGUGUCAUGAAGAAGCUGCUGCUCCUGUGGACAAGGGGAAAGACUGAGGUCAGACAAACACCCGAAUUCGAUUUGCAAGAUGACACAUCUGAAGAUGAAAGAGCGGCACAUCCGCCUAUGAAGAGGUCAAGGCCUUCGGGCCUACCCAGGGCUCCCCAAUUUACUGAAAGUCCCCGGCAGCCCCUGGACAUCCAGGAACCUCAAAG